GCGGAGGGCCGCAGGCGGAGCGCGGGACGGCCCGGGAGUGAGCGUGGCGGUCUGCAGGGCCCGCGUUUGGUUUCACGGUCGCUUCUCCGCGAACGCACGCAGGUUCCGGGGCCGUCAUCCGUGUUUAUUCUACAAGCCUCAGGAUGUUCCCGUGUUUUCCAGACUGUAACAAUGUUCCCUGAAAUGCUACUAGUUCAAUAGGACAAGAAGUACAGAGAUUCUUCUGGGAGCUGCAAGGCCUGAAGUAACUUACCAAUGAAGAAACCUUGAACUGGACAUCCAGUAACCAACAGGAGCCUGGACCUGGGUCCUGCCACAGAUGACCCUUGCCUCGGAUAAUUCCUCUGACCUCACCGGUGAAAAUGCAUAGACGCUGAACUAAUGCAUGGAUAAAGCUAUAAGGGUGAAGAGAAAAGUUCCCCUUUAUCCUCUGAAGGUUCACUGAAAAAUCAACUGGCAAAAGGAAGAUUAAUAGAA